GCCGGGUAGUGGACCGCUGGAAGGCCGACAAGACAGGAGCCGUCAGCGGCUUCGGUCUGGACUACCUGCCGGCUGCUGCGUCCUCUGCAGCUUCAGACACCAGCUGGCACCAGAGCGGACCACCCGGCAGCUCCUGGACCAAUCAGGAGUCUCCAAUGGAGGAGUCGUCUUCCACUGUGCUGCUCGACAGCCUCAAGUCCAUCUGGUCCAGCUCCAUGAUGCAGCCGGGCCCGUCGGCGCUGGAGCAGCUCCUCCUGCAGCAGAAACAGAAGCAGCAGCGAGGUCACGGCGCCAUGAACCCGCCUCACUGAACAGUAGCCCGGGGCGGUGCUUUGUGUCCGGAUGUAAAAACAACCACGGCCAGGAGAAACGGGAGGAAAAAAGACAAAAGUUUGACGAAGACAAGCUCCGACAAAAAUGGAAAAUUAAACCGGUGAGAAACGGUGGAGGCCGGGGAGGUGACAUGACCCCCUGACGAGGCUGAAACACCAACCCCACCCCCUCGGCCGUCGAGGAGCGGUGACGCCCCUCCUGGAUCGGAGGGCGCGGGAUCUCUUCAACCAUGGUGCCACACGCCACGUCACCGCCGGGUUUCCUUCAACCCGCGGAAAUCUGAACAUUGAGGAACACAACCCCCCCCCUCACCACCACUGCCCCGGACGCCACAUCUCCGCCGCUACGCUCUCAUCUGGGAGAACUUCUUCUUCUAACAAAAAACAAAACCACCAUCUGGACGUCUGCUCGGUCCUGGCGGAGCGCCUGUUUUUAGCGUCUCUGCCGCCGCAGACUGAAGGGAGGUGCCAUGGGAGAGCGAGGUCUGUGUGGUGGUCAGGUUCAUGGGGGAGGGCGUGAAGCAGCGGGAGACAAAAUAACAGACUGGACUUUCUGCUUUCUCUGUUCAUAUUCAUUACUGUGGAGGAGGAGGAGGAGGACACUCUGCAGCUGAUUGGUCGAAUGAAGGAAGGAAAAGGGUGACAGCUAUAUAAAUAUAUAAAUAAAUAUAUAUUGCCAUAGUUGGACUUCAAACGGGUCUCGUCUCUUAGCCGUGUUAUGAGAACGGGGACUACGUCCAUCCUUUUUGAGGGAAGAGCCGGGACACCUGAGGGGACGGCUUCUGCUGGAGAACAUCACAGGGGAAAGAGGAAGUAAAAGGGAGGAGGGGCUAAGAACACGAGACCCCGCCAGCGUUAGGGAUCGUAUCAUCGUUAGAGAUUUACAGAUAUGACUAAAAAACUGAGUGUUUAGUGAUUUGUUUGUAGCAGUUUUAGCUUCACGCUGCGACGUGAACGCAGCUUUGUCUUUUAACUUCUUCUUCCUGUUUCUUCUUUAAUGAACCAAGAAAAAAUACAAUGAAACUCUGAUCGAUUCAGUCAGAAACUAACCUGCUUCUAAUGUUUCUGUUCAUCGUCUGACGGUUUGGAGAAAAUGAGACAGACAGACAGAGAGACAGAGAGAGAGAGAGAGAGACAGAGAGAGAGAGACAGAGAGAGACAGAGAGACAGAGAGAGAGACAGACAGACAGAGAGAGAGAGACAGAGAGAGAGACAGAUAGAGAGAGAGAUGGACGUCCUCUGAAAUCUCGUCUUUAGUUCUUGCUGCUCUGAUUUUUUUUUUUGCUCCUGAAACUUCUUCUUCUUGUAAAACCUCAAAGUCACAGGAACCAAACUCAGGAACUCAGUGUUUGUUGUGGAGUCUCAUGCUUCAUCUCCUGGUUGUUGUUUGAUGAACCAGGAAGUGGAUAAGUGAGCGAACAAUGAUCGGUUCUUUCAUUGGAAUCAUUUCUCGUCUCUGUUUAGAAAAGUUAAAAACGCAGUUUGGUCGAAUCAUUAAUUAAG